rnacentral:rRNA from 1 species
CCUACGGGAGGCAGCAGUGAGGAAUAUUGGUCAAUGGCCGGAAGGCUGAACCAGCCAUGCCGCGUGAAGGUCAGUGCCCUAUGGGCGUUAAACUUCUUUUGUGCGGGAGCAAUAAUGGUCACGUGUGGCCAGACGAGAGUACCGUACGAAUAAGCAUCGGCUAACUCCGUGCCAGCCGCCGCGGUAAUACGGGGGGUGCAAGCGUUAUCCCGAAUUAUUGGGUUUAAAGGGUGCGUAGGCUGUGAGGUAAGUCAGCGGUGAAAUGCCCCCGCUCAACGGGGUGAAGUGCCUUUGAUACUGGCUAGCUGGAAUGCGUAUGCCGUGGGAGGAAUGUGUGGUGUAGCAGUGAAAUGCAUAGAUAUCACACAGAACAUCGAUUGCGAAGGCAUCUCACGAAUCCGCGAUUGACGCUGAUGCACGAAAGCGUGGGUAUCAAACAGGAUUAGAUACCCCAGUAGUC